rnacentral:lncRNA from 1 species
CCUGCCUUGGAGCCAGCUGACAAUGGACUGAAACCUCUACAAACUUCAUAUAAAGAUACAAGAAGAAGAUGGCUGUCUGCAAAUCAGGAAGACUGACCUCACCAGACAUUGGAUCUGCUGGUUGUACCUGGAUCUUGAACUUCCCAACCUUCAUAUAAUGUAAUGUUGGAGAGGUCCUUGGCCGGCUGGACCCCACUUUGGCCGACUCGUCACACCCACCUGCAACCAGCGAGAUGGUGAGGACCACUCAGCAAGCCCACCAGCCACCAGCUUAGUGCUUGGGCUCCUGGAAACCACCCCCCACCCCUGGCCUCCUGGUUGUGUCGCUACCUGGUUCCACACUACAGAGGCACAGGGGGCAUAAGGGCCAUUGUCCUGAGCUGCAGAAGUGAACAACAGAUAGAGGGCCUCUCUCAGGCUCCUUCAUGAAAACUAAAGCUGACUGUAAAAGUGAAGAGAAUCUUGGAAAUAAAGGCACACCAGACCACCGUACUUG